AAGUCGUAACAAGGUUUCCGUAGGUGAACCUGCGGAAGUUCCGCAGGAUCAUUAACACGUAUCCAACGUUAAACCCCCUGUGAAUUUUAAGUCCUGCUCCGGAAUCUUUUCAAACAGCAAUCUCAGUAAAUCAUUGUUGAACAGUUUUGAUUUGAGACCUCUGUUUGGAGAGUGAACGUUGAGACGGUUGAGAUAGGGGCAUGGCUUCCCGAAUCAAUCAUCAAAUGAAAGCGUUGAUGAUUGUGUAAGGAUAACGCUUCUCGGUCGCUGGAGGCCCACACGGCCGGCGGACAUGCCUCAUGGGCGCAAGCCCCUUUUUAACCCCACUAAACUUUUCCUUCCCUGUGGCGAAAGCCGCAGGUGCAAAAAACGAACAACUGUUAACAAUGGAUAUCUUGGUUCUC
rnacentral:misc_RNA from 1 species